UUCUCAUCUCCCCCGAUUCCUCUCCUCCAUCGCCGAAUUCGCCGACACCACACUCAACGCCAUCGCCGGUGCCACUCGACCAUCGCCAACCAUUCGCGGGAGAUCCAUUAGUGACACAGCAGCUGUUGCGGGAGGCGACAUAGUUGGCCCGAGCUCGACUCCCCUUCCCCUCUUCCCAACCACCCUCCUUGUGCCGUCACAUUGCCAUGUUGCCAUCUCACUUCCCCCUUUAUCGUCGGUGCACAAUAUCGUCGGCUCCUCGAGAGGUAUCAAACACAGCCACGACAGAAGCGAAGGAUAUCCCCUCUUCUGAUCUCCUCGCACCAAGAAACACCCACAUUGCACCCUAGCUCUUGAUCUAUUACCGGCUGAUUGCUAGGUGUUGUCAGUGUCCGAAAGGGGAAACGACACAAGGAAGGCUAGAUCUACACUUUCUUUGGCUUAGGAGUAUCAGAGUUGUGGUUAUGCCACCCGAGGGCUUGUCGGGGGUGGAUCCCUAGCAUUUUGUUCAUUGUAGCACCAUCUUUCUUCGUUGUAGUUGAAUCGAGGUCACUGAUGCCAGAUCUCAGCUGUCGCUAGCAUUUCAUGUAGCCAUCAACAACCACUGCGUUCCCUCACCCUACCGAGCUCUCUCUCCACUGAUCACAAGGGGGUGCUCUGCUGUCUUGCUGCCAUCUUAGAGCUUUGCUGGGUUUCAACCACAGCUACCAACAGUGGAGUUUCACCGGUCAAGAGUCAACAGCGGUGCAUCCAAACUUAGGAUCUUGAUUUAUGAUGAAUCGUUUGACAUGAGAUUAUUUAUCAUGAUCGACAAAUAAAGGCAAGU